UAAUGUAUCGGAACGUGCCCAGUCGUGGGGGAUAACUGCUCGAAAGAGCAGCUAAUACCGCAUACGACCUGAGGGUGAAAGCGGGGAAUCGCAAGACCUCGCGCGAUUGGAGCGGCCGAUAUCAGAUUAGGUAGUUGGUGAGGUAAAGGCUCACCAAGCCGACGAUCUGUAGCUGGUCUGAGAGGACGACCAGCCACACUGGGACUGAGACACGGCCCAG
rnacentral:rRNA from 1 species